rnacentral:rRNA from 1 species
GACGAACGCUGGCGGCGUGCUUAACACAUGCAAGUCGAACGGACAGGCCCUGCUUUUGUGGGGUGCUCGAGUGGCGAACGGGUGAGUAACACGUGAGUAACCUGCCCUUGACUUUGGGAUAACUUCGGGAAACUGGGGCUAAUACCGGAUAGGAGCUCCUGCUGCAUGGUGGGGGUUGGAAAGUUUCGGCGGUUGGGGAUGGACUCGCGGCUUAUCAGCUUGUUGGUGGGGUAGUGGCUUACCAAGGCUUUGACGGGUAGCCGGCCUGAGAGGGUGACCGGCCACAUUGGGACUGAGAUACGGCCCAGACUCCUACGGGAGGCAGCAGUGGGGAAUAUUGCACAAUGGGCGGAAGCCUGAUGCAGCAACGCCGCGUGCGGGAUGACGGCCUUCGGGUUGUAAACCGCUUUCGCCUGUGACGAAGCGUGAGUGACGGUAAUGGGUAAAGAAGCACCGGCUAACUACGUG